CCACGCGCGAGAAAAAAAACCCCGGAAAAAACGGAUCCCCCUACCUGCCCUUUGCUCGCAUCUCUCUCCCUAUAGGAUUCUCCUCGCCUCCGACGCCGCCCUUCCUCGCCUCCGCCGCUGCCGCCGCUGUUCCCCAUCUCUGCCGCCGCCGCCCUCUAUCCUCGCCUCCGACGCUGCCGCCGCUGUUCCCCAUCUCUGCCGCCGCCGCCCUCUAUCCUCGCGUGCUCCGGCCAUCAACCACCCACUAGGGUUCCCAUUAGGGCGCUCCGGCGGCAUCGCCUCCCGCCGCUGGGGCUAUGGCGCAGCUGCUGUCCCCUCAUCCCGAUUUGGAUCGCCGCAGCAGCAUUGCCGCCCACCGCUGGGGCCAUGGCGCCGGCCCGAGCUGCUGUCCGCCUCGCCCUCUCCUCCUCAUCCUGAUCUGGAACGCCGGCAGGUGCAUCGCCGCCCGCUGCCGGGGACGACCCGCCUCGCCCUCUCCCCCUCAUCCCGAUCUGCAUCGAGCUAACGAGCGUCUGUACCCUUUCCCCGCCGCAGGGGCAUCGCCGCCCGGCCCGAUUCCGCGUGUGGGGCGUGGACUCAGACCCCCUCGACUACCUCAGCGGGGCAAGCGGCUGGUCCUCCGGAGUUGGAGUUCUCCUGAUCCAUUCAGAGGUUACCGGUGAUUUCUAUUCUUUUCUUUGCGUAUAGUCCUUGUCGACGAGGUACACCCCGACGCAUCAGCAGCAAAUUUACUAUGUUCUCAUGUCAAGAUCUCCUCUGGAAUUUUUCCAGUUCGAGCCUUGGAUUCAUUUAUGUGUCUCCAGAAAUAUUAUCCUCGUGGUCUCAGAUUAAUAAGGCGAGGAGAUAGUAGGCUGCCAGCACGAAGCGGCGAUGGGAGUGAAUGAGUGAAACUAAUGUGUUUCUCCUUUUUCUCUUACCUGUUCAUGUUAUAAUCUUUAUACUGGAUCUUCGUGUAGGAAGUUUUGGAUGACAAAGUCAGCUACGUAGAGGAUGCCAAUGUUGUCCUAACUCAUCAGGAGACUUCUCUUAAAGAAAGAUUAAGUGGGCUGCAGGAAACCAACAAAGCACCGCUGGAGCAGGAUGGCAAGAGUUGCGAAGAAAAACAUGUUGCCUACAGGGAUUGCAGCUAUGUUGUGGGGCAUUUCCAAAAUGAAUGGCCUCAUGAACCAGAACCAGUUGGGAUUAUUCUCUCUAAAAUGCACGAGAGCUGCUUCGGUGGGGUCGCAAGACUUCUUCAACAUCGGGGCUGCAAAAAAGGGAUGGGCGUCAUGGAUCCCAAGUCUCCAACUCUAGAGGAUGUGGAGAAGGAUAGAACAGUUCAAGGCGGGCCAAGAGGUUUCAGUUUAUUUGAGCUGCUUUUGUUUUCUGAAAACUGCAACGUGUUGUUGCAAAAAGUAUUUUUCUUGUCGGUCUGUUGCGGUCUCUUUGGUCUGUUUGUGGCUAUCAGUAGAUUUUAAGCUCGGAGGUAGUCGCCGAGUCAUUUCAAGUCAAGGUGGAGUUUUAAUGUCUUGAAAUAUCAUUGUGAUAUUUUGUAUACCCUUGAAAUUUUACAUGGAUUAUGUGCGGUACUUGAUUUCACAUGCAUUAUGUGUGGUAAAUUACUGUAUAUGGGAA